GUGAAUGUUCUGCCUUUGGAACUGUAGCAAUUGUGGCAGCAACUGAACGAUGAAUAUGAAGGGUGCAGUUAUUAUUUUGGUUUUGUGUUUGAUGGGUUGUCUUAUUUUGGACGUAGCUCAAGCAUAUGAAGCACCGUCAAGUGUGAAAUGUGGAUUUGGAUCCACCAGUCCAGCUUGUAGCAGAUUCUGUGCUAGACGUGGAGGAGGGUCCGGGCAAUGUAUCAAUCUGCGAUGUUUAUGCUCAUAAAACGAGUUUCCUAAUCCACGAAAUUGUUUCUUCAUUGAACUGUCAAAUAAACAUUAUACAUCAAUUGCUUGGUGUUAAAUUUAAGUGAUUUCAUUCACUUUGAGUUACCUUCAAAACAUAACUUGUACAAUUGAGUUAAUAUUUAAGAACAUUGAAUUAAGUGUAAUGAAUGGUUUCUAUUGAAUUGUUUCAAAGUUCAAUCAUGCCAAUUUUGUAAGUCGCAUAAAGCUUUUUACAUGCUCGUAUGUGUGGAAAUUUCUAAGUCUAUUUCUAUUUUGCAUAUAAUUUAUUUGUAGUUUCUCAUAACAUAUAAAUCAAUACAAUAAUUAUCAAUA